rnacentral:rRNA from 1 species
UACGGAGGGUGCAAGCGUUGUCCGGAAUUAUUGGGUGUAAAGGGUGUGCAGGCGGGGCGGUAAGUCAGGGGUGAAAGUCUACGGCUCAACCGUAGGAUGGCCUUUGAUACUGUCGUCCUUGAGUCCCGGAGAGGCCAUUAGAAUUCGUGGUGUAGCGGUGAAAUGCGUAGAUAUCACGAGGAAUACCGGAAGCGUAGGCGGAUGGCUGGACGGCGACUGACGCUCAGGCACGAAAGCGUGGGGAGCGAACAGG